rnacentral:rRNA from 1 species
CCUACGGGAGGCAGCAGUGGGGAAUAUUGCACAAUGGGGGGAACCCUGAUGCAGCAACGCCGCGUGGGUGAAGAAGUACUUCGGUAUGUAAAGCCCUGUUAUCAGGGAAGAAAAUUACGGUACCUCACCAAGAAGCCCCUGCUAACUACGUCCCAGCAGCCGCGGUAAUACGUAGGGGGCAGGCGUUAUCCUGCUGUACUGGAUGUUAAGGGAGCGUAGACGGCAAGGCAAGUCUGCAGUGAAAGCCCGUGGCUCAACCACGGAACUGCGUUGGAAACUGUGUUGCUGGAGUGCAGGAGGGGUAAGCGGAAUGCCUAGUGUAGCGGUGAAAUGCGUAGAUAUUAGGAGGAACACCGGUGGCGAAGGCGGCUAACUGGACUGUAACUGACGUUGAGGCUCGAAGGCGUGGGGAGCAAACAGGAUUAGAUACCCUUGUAGUC